AACCUUUCAUCUGUAUCUGUGUUAAACAGAUGUUGGUAGCUUGACGAGUCUGUCUUAUUCACCUAUCUAUAUGAUUUCGGAUGCCUUAAAACAGAUGUCGGGAGCAGACGGUAUGUUUACUUUGAACAAAUUUGAGUGCCCAAAGCAGGACUUUGCGCCUAAAAAUUCUUUCAUGGAAUAAUGACAUAGGACUUCAUUUCUAUUUUGUUUGUUUUCAGGUCCGAAGUAAUGGUUAAGACGGACAGACAAGGGCAUUUUGUAAGGUGAUGUUAGAGAUGAAAUUCUAGGAUCACUGUCAGACAAACUACAGCGAAACCAUUUGCCAAGAAUGUUUUCAUUGAACAGAAGCUAAAGUCAGAGUUCUGAAGAUGAUCAGAUAACGUUAGCGUUAAUCUCCAACUAUUCUAAUAUGAAAU
rfam:Schistosoma haematobium scaffold931_9, whole genome shotgun sequence.